AAAAUGCGAUAAGUAGUGUGAAUUGCAGAAUUCAGUGAAUCAUCGAAUCUUUGAACGCACAUUGCGCCCUUUGGUAUUCCAUUGGGCAUGCCUGUUCGAGCGUUAUUUAAUCCUUCAAGCUCUGCUUGGUGUUGGGCGGUUGUUCUACCCUAGUGUAUGGACUCGCUUCAAAUAUAUUGGCAGUUAAUAGGCUUGUUUUGUAUGCAGCACACGCAAGCAACUCGAGCAGGUUUCCUUCCACAAGCCCUUAUAAGUUUGACCUCGGAUCAGGUAGGGAUACCCGCUGAACUUAA
rnacentral:misc_RNA from 1 species